CAGAAAACAACACACACCCACAGACCUCACGGGUCGUAACAAUGGGAUUUUGGAAACUCCAUGGCAGGUGUUAGCUGGACAAAUUUUAAAACAGGUUGGAAAUUUAGGUUUGAGACAUUUUUUCUUCUGGAUACCACUUUUUUGAAUGUGCUGAAUAAAGAAAAAAAAAUUGGAUUGACGCACCAUGGAGGAAAUAUCUGGAAGUAAAAGAUGAAAUAAUGCCAGUAUGGGAAGCAAUUUAUAAGCCACCAUUGACCAAAAAGGUUGGAGAUAUUCAGUGGAGAAUAUUGCAUGCACUGAAGUGAUCUCACUCCCUUUCUUGUUUACCACAGCUUCAUAAGAACUCCGACCCCAGCUUUCAGUGCAGCAGUGGAAUGCUGGUGCCUGAACUUUUGGAAGAUGAGUAUACUAGAAAGCUUCCAACAAAUUUCUCAGAGAUACAACUUAGAUAACAAAAACUUUUUCUGAUAUCUUCAAGUUAGACAUUACUCCAAUAAGAAUAUAAAAGAUGGGGAAGGUACGGGAUCCACAAUAGUACAAAUAUUUGUAGAUCCAUAUAAAAAGAAACUGAAUAAGAAAAUUGCAUUAAAAACUUAUUUAUGUUUAAUGUAAAACACAGAUGACAACUAAAAAACCUGAGAAGAAAUUAUGCCAUCCCUCAGGCAACCUCAGAUGACGCCAAUUGUGAAUCUUGAAUGUAACUUUAAAACAAUGUACUUGGGUAUUUCUCCCACAACCAGGAACAACAUUUCAAUCAGGACCACUUCCGUCAAGUAUAUUUAUGACAAUUAUAAUUGCAUACAGUUAGUGUAUGGUUAUGUUCUGGGCAACACUCCAUAUGCCUGUCCAUGAAGCCAUGCUUGGACAGAGCGGGGAAAGCAGCAAGAC